UUUUCAGCUCUUCGCCUCUGAGCCUGGGUCCAGUGUGGAUUACACUCAAGGACCGAGGCCUGGACAGCCUCCCACCCGUGGUUUAUAAAGUGCUGGGUCAAGACCUGGUAAUUAAGUACACACAAUUGGUGGACUGGACUGAUCCCCUAGUGGGUCGACACAAAGGGAAUAGAAGGGGACGUCUGGAUGGAUCUUUGCUGUAGAUCCUGUGAAACCUCAGCAGCUGGGACUUCACAAGACCUGCAAAAGUUUCACUGCUGCAGUCAGACACUAUAGGUCGGCCAGGGGGGGUCACAAAGGGGAUGCUCCAGGAGGCCGGCUCUUUGUGGAUUUUGGG